rfam:Gardnerella vaginalis ATCC 14019, complete genome.
GGGGUCGAUCGGUUUCGACGGUGAUCUGUUCGCCGCGGGGAAGCGUGCCGAGAAUGCGAAAGUCCACUCGUAAACGUCCUUUCGCAAAAGAAUAAGUGCUAAAUCUAAUCGCACUGAGUUCGCUCUUGCUGCCUGAGCUUCGCGCCAGGAUUAACCAGUGAGCAGCUGCUCCGUUUACCCACUCACGUCUUCGGAGUGGUGCUAAACGUCAUUAGAAGACUUGCUUGAAUUGCCGAGCUGCAGGGUAGUUCAGGGACUUUUACUGUAGAUAUGCUCGCCAUGAAUUGUCUGCGAUAACAUGGGGGCAGAAAAACUGCCGUACGGCCAGCAGACUACGCACGUAGAAGACUGAGGGUACGGUUUCCGGACCGGGGUUCAAUUCCCCGCGACUCCACAA